GGUCUACUCAUCAACCAAGUAGAUGUCUGAGACCUGCAGCUGAUACGCUACCUAACAAUGUGUAAUGAGUCUCGUAAAUGAACUGCUCUCUCUUUAAUAAAAGAUAUUUCUGCCUUGUCCAAAAAAUAUUUUCAUGAGAUCUGCCGGUGCCUAACAUUGGCCCAUCGUCUACACAUCAACACAUAGAUGUGUGAAGCAAAAAAUAGCAUGAGAACGCUGAUAUGCUUCAACCAAGUGUGUUGCAAAUAACCUUUACUACGAUCAUGAAAGGUUAAAAGAUUAAGGAGAGCAACGCUUCAAGGCAAUCUACGCAUCAAGUCAUUAUGGAUGAACAACCGACCAACUUGUUGAUUACAUUUGUAAACGCGUAGACUUUUUAACUAACGAUGCUUAGUACAUUCCCUUACUUCUACAUGAAUGUUAUUGUAAAAAGUAAGUGCACCAUUUGCAAGCAACCACACAAUGUUUAUUUUAAACUCAUUAAGUCAGAGAUCUGGGUAGUAAUGUUUGGACUGGAAGUAAAAAGCACUGAUUGUGCAAUGGUACGAUUACUGGCUAUGUGAGGGUUCAAUGAAUAGUACAAUGAGUGGUUUGAUAAAAUAGUGGAGGGGUGGCCCAGGAUCCUUACCAGGAUAAAAUUGCCCAGAUAACACUGCUUGCAAGGUGCAC